ensembl:lncRNA
CUCGGGAGGAGGACCCCGAGGCGGAGGACACGAGGAGGGGCGCCGUGCGAGGCAAGGGCGGUGCGGGCCGCGCAUCAGGGGCAGAUGCUGCGUCCAGGCUCCGGCGACAGGGCGGUCGUUUCCCCGCCGGCCAAGGUCGUGUCGGGCCUCACUCCAGACCCCCCCAGAGAGCACCCAGGGCCGGGUCGGGCCCCCCCUUUAAGAGCUCCUCGGAAGCUUCGAGAGGCGCAGCUUGCGGCCGUCGGCGAGGCGGGGAGUCCUGCUUGCCCCGCAGCCCUGACUCUUCCGAGCUGCUGCUGCUGCUAAGUCGCUUCAGUCGUGUCCGACUCUGUGCGACCCCAUAGAGGGCCUCCCACCGUGCUCCCCAGUCCCUGGGAUUCUCCAGGCAAGAACACUGGAGUGGGUUGCCAUUUCCUUCUCCAAUGCAUGAAAGUGAAAAGUAAAAGUGAAAUCUCUCAGUCGUGUCCGACUCUUCGCGACCGCAUGGACUGCAGCCUACCAGGCUCCUCCGCCAAUGGGAUUUUCCAGGCAAGAGUACUGGAGUGGGGUGCCAUCGCCUUCUCCGCCUCUUCCGAGCAGGCAACGGCCGAGCAAGCUUUCCUGUCCACUGGUGAUCGUCUCCAUGUCCUGUCCAGCAACUGAGUCACACCCUGCUGCUCCAGGAGCACCAUCUCCAAGGAGUCUGGUCCUGUGAUGGGGUCACAUGGGGGUGGUUGUGGAGG